AUACUUACCUGGCAGGGGAGAUACCAUGAUCAUGAAGGUGGUUUGCCCAGGGCAAGGCUUAUCCAUUACAUUCUGGAGGUGCUGACUCCUGCGAUUUCUCCACAUGUGGGAAACUCGACUACAUAAUUUGAGGUAGUAGGGGACUGUGAUCAUGCUCUUCCCGG